UGUAAGAUUCCAAAGUCGUAAAUCUGAAAUGGGUCCAUAUUUGUGUGUGCUAUAUGUAUUAAUUAAUCUAGAACAGUAUUAUCUUUGCAACGUGGUAAUGUCAAACUACACUGUUGUUCAAUGUGAAUUGAGGACUAUUUUGGUGGUGUCGAGUUGUAGAGAAAUCAGUCACUCGGAAAGUUCCAUUCUAGGUUGCUGGUUCAGAAAACAGCUGACUAUGUAGGCAAGAGCUUUUGGAACAGAACAAGUGUCAUCCUUUUUCCACCAAUGACUGAGCAACAAAGGGGUGUGUCUUAAAUAAAAAAAACACUUUUUUGUCUUUGUGUAGUUAACUGUACAUCAGAGAAUAUUUCAGGAAAAACAUCUCUAAAUGGACUCUUUUCUUCUCCUAUUCACAUUGCUUUGCUUUAAAGCAGAUUUCUGUGACAGUGUUCUGAUCACUCAGUGGCCGAAGUACAUAUCCGAUCUCCCAGGCUCUUUAGUUGAAAUGCACUGUUACCAGAAUAACACAGAGUAUGACUACAAAUACUGGUACAGGCAAAUAAAAGGUGAAGGGCCAGUGCUUAUCGGAAGCUACAAUUUUAACUCUCCUUCCAGUGAGAAGGAUUUUGAGAGUGGCUUUACAAUGUCAGGUACAGAGACAAAGAAAUGGACCCUGUCUGUGGAAGUUAAGGAGGGGAUUGAUGCUGUGUAUCUGUGUGCUGCUAGUUAACACAGUGAAUAAAAGACAAUAAACUAUAAGACAAAAAUCUUUUUGGAUGGCAACCUGCAAUCACACCUGCCUCAACCACAAAUAAAUGAACCCUUAUCUUUAAGUCAGUAGAACCUCAGAA